rnacentral:rRNA from 1 species
UACGUAGGGUGCAAGCGUUGUCCGGAAUUAUUGGGCGUAAAGAGCUCGUAGGCGGUUUGUCGCGUCGGCUGUGAAAACCUGGGGCUCAACCCCGGGCCUGCAGCCGAUACGGGCAAACUAGAAUUCGGUAGGGGAGACUGGAAUUCCUGGUGUAGCGGUGAAAUGCGCAGAUAUCAGGAGGAACACCGGUGGCGAAGGCGGGUCUCUGGACAUUUCCUGACGCUGAGGCACGAAAGCCAGGGGAGCAAACGGG